CGCGUAGGCGGGAUGGCAAGUCGGUCGUGAAAUCCCUCGGCUCAACUGAGGAACGUCGAUCGAUACUGCCAUUCUUGAGGAUUGCAGAGGAGACUGGAAUUCCCGGUGUAGCGGUGAAAUGUGUAGAGAUCGGGAGGAACACCGGUGGCGAAGGCGGGUCUCUGGGCAAUUCCUGACGCUGAGGCGCGAAAGCGUGGGGAGCAAACGGGGUUAGAUACCCCGGUAGUCCACGCUGUAAACGAUGACGACUAGGUGUGGGGGGGUUCAGUCCCCUCCGUGCCGCAGCUAACGCAUUAAGUCGUCCGCCUGGGGAGUACGGCCGCAAGGUUGAA
rnacentral:rRNA from 1 species